GCUGCAGUCAGGGAACAAACCCCUUGGCGCUAGGCGCUGCACAACUCAGAACAAAAAGAGAGGCCCUGCCCCAGAGAGCUUAGAAUUGGUUUCUUCGCGCUGAUCUGAAAAAGGCCCAGGUUCCGGAAUUCCAGGUUCUCCUGGCAGUUUACACACAAGUCUUGUCUACACAGGACUUCUUUGCCAAAGCUUUCCUGCCUUCACCUCUGGGUGCAGCUCCACAAACAGGAGCAACAAUGGGAACGCUUGUGUAGCCAAAGGGCCUGUGUCUAACCACCGCCUCACGCAGGGCGAGGCAACGCCAGGGCGUGAAGUACAGCUGGUUAAGCACUCAUCUCUGCGGCCAUUGGUGGAGACGGACCAGUUGUAGCAACAAUGGUCUUGUAACCUGCAAACCAGCUGUGUUUUCUGGUCAGGCGACAUGCGAGCGAAAAUCGUGGCCUGAAUCAGGAUCUAAAAGGGAAAGGGCUUCAUGGUCAGAUCCGGCCUCUCCCGUGCCCACCCCAGAAGCAGCUCUGCCGGUUACCUGUCACCAUGACGGUGCGGAUGUUUGCGCUCCUCAGCAGGUGGAUCACGGGGGCCGUCUCUGCCUUGAGGACGUUUCUCAUCACUAGGAAGCCAAGGAGAGUCAUUCCACUCUCUACGGCAUCCCUGCCAGGGCACAACAGGGCACUCGGCGUAAGUGUCGGAUGCCAGCACAAGGUUAGGGGAGUGAAUUAACCUGGCAGUUACUUUAGUGUCUGAUUCUUUAAAAGCCAUUUAGAUCUCCUAAUAGUCAUCGAUUCAGGUCAGAAGGCACCAUUGUGAGCAUCUAGCCUGACGUCCUAGAACACAGGCCAGAGAACCUCCGGGAAUUGAUUUUUGUUUCAGUGCUGACCCUAGAGCUAUGCCAACAAAUGAUUUUUCGGUUUGCCGAUAAUUCCAAACAAACAAACAAAAAUCAUUUUGGGUUGAAUGAAACA